CACUGUACAGCUAUUCCAGCAUUAACCUUUUAAGUUAAAGAUUUGAGGGGAUACACCCUCUGCGGUGA
rnacentral:tRNA from 1 species